AUUGAACGCUGGCGGCAGGCCUAACACAUGCAAGUCGAGCGCGCGGCGGACGGGUGAGUAAUGUAUGGGGACUGCCCGAUAGAGGGGGCUAACUACUGGAAACGGUAGCUAAAAUCGCGCACUACCGGAGAACCCAGAUGGGAUUUUCUGGUAGGGGUGGUAAUGGCUCACCCAGGCGACGACCCCCAGCUGGUCUGAGAGGAUGAUCAGCCACACUGGAACUGAGACACGGCCCAGACUCCUACGGAGGCAGCAGUGGGGAAUAUUGCACAAUGGGCGCAAGCCUGAUGCAGCCAUGCCGCGUGUAUGAAGAAGGCCCUAGGGUUGUAAAGUACUUUCAGUCGGGAGGCGUUACCGAAAGAAGAAGCACCGGCUAACUCCGUGCCAGCAGCCGCGGUAAUAC
rnacentral:rRNA from 1 species